rnacentral:rRNA from 1 species
CCAGACUCCUACGGGAGGCAGCAGUGAGGAAUAUUGGACAAUGGUCGGAAGACUGAUCCAGCCAUGCCGCGUGCAGGAUGACGGCCUUAUGGGUUGUAAACUGCUUUUGUAAGGGAAGAAUAAGGAGUACGUGUACUUUGAUGACGGUACCUUACGAAUAAGCAUCGGCUAACUCCGUGCCAGCAGCCGCGGUAAUACGGAGGAUGCGAGCGUUAUCCGGAAUCAUUGGGUUUAAAGGGUCCGUAGGCGGGCUAAUAAGUCAGGGGUGAAAUCGUUCAGCUCAACUGAGCAACUGCCUUUGAAACUGUUAGUCUUGAAUAGUUGUGAAGUAGUUGGAAUGUGUAGUGUAGCGGUGAAAUGCUUAGAGAUUACACAGAACACCGAUAGCGAAGGCAUAUUACUAACAAUUGAUUGACGCUGAUGGACGAAAGCGUGGGGAGCGAACAGGAUUAGAUACCCUGGUAGUCCACGCUGUAAACGAUGGAUACUAGCUGUUUGGACGCGAGUUUGAGUGGCUAAGCGAAAGUGAUAAGUAUCCCACCUGGGGAGUACGUUCGCAAGAAUGAAACUCAAAGGAAUUGACGGGGGCCCGCACAAG